UACGUAGGGUCCGAGCGUUGUCCGGAGUUACUGGGCGUAAAGCGCGCGCAGGCGGCGGUGUAAGCAUGGCGUGAAAGCCCCUGGCUUAACCAGGGAGGGUCGUCGUGGACUGCACCGCUUGAGGGCGGUAGGGGCUGGUGGAAUGCCUGGUGUAGUGGUGAAAUGCGUAGAGAUCAGGCGGAACACCCGUGGCGAAGGCGGCCAGCUGGGCCGUCCCUGACGCUGAGGCGCGAAAGCUAGGGGAGCAAACGGG
rnacentral:rRNA from 1 species